rnacentral:SRP_RNA from 1 species
AUUUGGUUCCCUCGCAAUGCAUCCUGCGAACCCCGCCAGGCCCGGAAGGGAGCAACGGUAGUGGGCUCUGUGUGUGCCGAGACCGGGCUGAAUGAG